CAAGCUGCUGUCACAAAAUACCAUGGACCAGGUGGCUUAUGAACAGCAGACAUUUCUUUCUUACAGUUCUGGAGGCUGGAAAUCCUGGA